rnacentral:rRNA from 1 species
GUGGGGAAUCUUGCGCAAUGGGCGAAAGCCUGACGCAGCCAUGCCGCGUGGAUGAUGAAGGUCUUAGGAUUGUAAAAUCCUUUCACCGGUGAAGAUAAUGACUGUAGCCGGAGAAGAAGCCCCGGCUAACUUCGUGCCAGCAGCCGCGGUAAUACGAAGGGGGCUAGCGUUGCUCGGAUUUACUGGGCGUAAAGGGCGCGUAGGCGGACAGCUUAGUCAGAGGUGAAAGCCCAGGGCUCAACCUUGGAAUUGCCUUUGAUACUGGCUGUCUUGAGUUUGGGAGAGGUGAGUGGAACUCCGAGUGUAGAGGUGAAAUUCGUAGAUAUUCGGAAGAACACCAGUGGCGAAGGCGACUCACUGGCCCAAUACUGACGCUGAGGCGCGAAAGCGUGGGGAGCAAACAGGAUUAGAUACCCCGGUAGUCC